CCAGAAAGGAAGACUUUGUACUGCACUGUCUCCACGGCAACGUGAGGCGCCAUCAUGGGAGACUCCAAGAGGCCUGUGUCAAACAACCAGGCUUAAAGCGUGUUGAUUGGAUUUCAGUCGGGUAGGAUGUGUUGAUUUCAAGAUUACGAAUGGAGAUGGCUUCCCUGCGGCCUUUAACCUUCAGGAUCCCAUCGUCUCCCAUCGAUGCGGUCAAAGACAUUGGGUCCAUGGCCACAGGCAACCUACAUGUAUGUGAGAAGCUCCAACAGAAAGGGGAACUGAUGAAAGCCAAAACCCUGAUCCACAUGUUCCCCGGGAACGCUAUUCUGAGGAACAGAGGAUGAACAAGACCUCCCUGCCUUCAACUAUUUCAAGCACUACUCUAGUUUAGUGCCUCGUGUCUGCGAGAAAGUGAAAGACAUCUUCAGACGACCAGGCCCGUUGUCGUUUGAAGUGUUGGAAAUGUCUGCUGAGGUAUAAAUACUCACCCCAUCCUCAUAUGGCGAGGUCAACCACCCAAGCUCUCCUCCUGCUGCAUUCAUAUCCAGUAAGACUUCUACAAGGGAACACAAAAAAUAAUUUUGUAACGAGAUCGACAUGAUGUAUUCAUUAUUUGAUUGUAUCGCUUAAUUAUGAUUGUAUAAUCACAAUGAAAUAUAAUUAAUUUAUAGAUGCCAACAGCUACCGACCCUUGUUUCAUUUUCAUAAUUGUGUGUUUUAAUAUCAACUAUUGAACUGAUGUGGAUUGCCAAUCACAUCUUGCAUCUUGUUAGGACAGCAAAUGAAUGAAUGUGUGAAAAAAGCCAUCCCACCUAGGACUGUGCCGUGCCAACAUCUUGAUGGGGCACAAGCCUUUCCAUGACAGUUUAAUCAAGCAUGUCGGUUUUCAUUCAUCACUUCAUUAACCGUGUCCUCCAAGUUCUGGCUACAGGACCAAUAAUGGUACACACGCUAGGGGUUUUACAAUUGCAUGACAAUCAAAUUCCUCAGCGUUGUAAUUUGCAAUAAACCUUAAAGUCCAAGGUUGACCACGUUUUUGCCCCAUACGUUUUUGCCCCCUACACCACGAGUAACUCACAGUAUUCUUAAACAAUGUCGUCUGGCCUCUGUGAGGGCAGAAAAGUUUCUGGAAAAGUUUCUACUUCGGAAUUCCUUUUUUAUUGAAGUCCAUAUAAUCGCUGAGGAGAAGGACUGAGUCAUUUUACUGUUAAGGUGCAGUCACUAUGGUGGCUUAUGAUCGGCUGUGAUUUUCUUACGUCUAUCCCGAAAGAAAAAAUAACUCAAAGUUGAUCGGACAUUUGACACUUCAUUAAAUCAGAGAAAAAUGAUUGGGAACAAAAUUAAACGAUGAAGACUACGGUAAAGUUAAAACCCUGUCCAGAGACAUGCGGGACACGGGAGACCCGGUAUGACUUUAAAACCCAUUAAUAUGUGAAAGUAGCUCUACUUACGU